UGGUAUUUCAUUAAUAUUUAUGAUAUAUGCCCGAUCUCAUCUGAUCUCGGAAGCUAAGCAGGGUUAGACCUGGUUAGUACUUGGAUGGAGAACGUCCUGGGAAUACUAGGUGGUAUAGCCG
rfam:Rattus norvegicus chromosome 13, whole genome shotgun sequence.